GCAUAUCAAUAAGCGGAGGAAAAGAAACCAACAGGGAUUGCCCUAGUAACGGCGAGUGAAGCGGCAACAGCUCAAAUUUGAAAUCUGGCGCAAGCCCGAGUUGUAAUUUGUAGAGGAUGUUUCUGGCGACGUGCCUUCCGAGUUCCCUGGAACGGGACGCCAUAGAGGGUGAGAGCCCCGUACGGUUGGAUGCCUAGCCUCUGUGAAACUCCUUCGACGAGUCGAGUAGUUUGGGAAUGCUGCUCUAAAUGGGAGGUAUACGUCUUCUAAAGCUAAAUACCGGCCAGAGACCGAUAGCGCACAAGUAGAGUGAUCGAAAGAUGAAAAGCACUUUGAAAAGAGGGUUAAAAAGUACGUGAAAUUGUUGAAAGGGAAGCGUUCAUGACCAGACUUGGGCAGGUUGAUCAUCCGUGGUUCUCCGCGGUGCACUCUGCCUGCCCAGGCCAGCAUCAGUUCGCCCCGGGGGAUAAAGGCUUUGGGAAUGUGGCUCCCUCGGGAGUGUUAUAGCCCACUGUGUAAUACCCUGGGGUGGACUGAGGUUCGCGCUCUGCAAGGAUGCUGGCGUAAUGGUCAUCAACGACCCGUCUUGAAACACGGACCA
rnacentral:rRNA from 1 species